GCGCUCCUACGGGAGGCAGCAGUGGGGAAUAUUGCACAAUGGGGGAAAGUCUGAUGGAGCAACGCCGCGUGAGUGAAGAAGGGUUUCGGCUCGUAAAGCUCUGUUGGUAGGGAAGAAAGAUAGAGGUAGUAACUGGCCUUUAUUUGACGGUAAUUACUUAGAAAGUCACGGCUAACUACGUGCCAGCAGCCGCGGUAAUACGUAGGUGGCAAGGGUUGUCCGGAUUUAUUGGGCGUAAAGCGAGUGCAGGCGGGUUAAUAA
rnacentral:rRNA from 1 species